CGGGCGCGGCGUCGGUCUAAGUCCCUUGGAACGGGGCGUCAUAGAGGGUGAGAAUCCCGUAUGUGACCGAUGGCCAAGCCCAUGUGAAGCUCCUUCGACGAGUCGAGUUGUUUGGGAAUGCAGCUCAAAAUGGGUGGUAAAUUUCAUCUAAAGCUAAAUACUGGCCAGAGACCGAUAGCGCACAAGUAGAGUGAUCGAAAGAUGAAAAGCACUUUGGAAAGAGAGUCAAAAAGUACGUGAAAUUGUUGAAAGGGAAGCGCUUGCAACCAGACCUGUCCGCGGGUGAUCAGCCGUCCUUCUGGGUGGUGUAUUUCCCUGUGAUCAGGCCAGCAUCGGUUCGAGCGGCCAGAUAAAGGCCUUAGGAACGUAGCUCCUUUCGAGGAGUGUUAUAGCCUUCGGUGCAAUGUGGCCAGCUCGGACCGAGGACCGCGCUUCNNNNNNNNNNNNNNNNNNAUGGCUGUAAGCGGCCCGUCUUGAAACACGGACCAAGGAGUCUAAUAUCUAUGCGAGUGUUUGGGUGUCAAACCCAUACGCGUAAUGAAAGUGAACGGAGGUGGGAGCCCAAAAGGGUGCACCAUCGACCGAUCCAGGAUGUUUUCGGAUGGAUUUGAGUAUGAGCAUGUAUAUUGGGACCCGAAAGAUGGUGAACUAUGCCUGAAUAGGGUGAAGCCAGAGGAAACUCUGGUGGAGGCUCGCAGCGGUUCUGACGUGCAAAUCGAUCGUCAAAUUUGGGUAUAGGGGCGAAAGACUAAUCGAACCAUC
rnacentral:rRNA from 1 species